rnacentral:rRNA from 1 species
UACACUCCUACGGGAGGCAGCAGUGGGGAAUAUUGGACAAUGGGCGCAAGCCUGAUCCAGCCAUGCCGCGUGAGUGAUGAAGGCCCUAGGGUUGUAAAGCUCUUUCACCGGUGAAGAUAAUGACGGUAACCGGAGAAGAAGCCCCGGCUAACUUCGUGCCAGCAGCCGCGGUAAUACGAAGGGGGCUAGCGUUGUUCGGAUUUACUGGGCGUAAAGCGCACGUAGGCGGACUAUUAAGUCAGGGGUGAAAUCCCGGGGCUCAACCCCGGAACUGCCUUUGAUACUGGUAGUCUUGAGUUCGAGAGAGGUGAGUGGAAUUCCGAGUGUAGAGGUGAAAUUCGUAGAUAUUCGGAGGAACACCAGUGGCGAAGGCGGCUCACUGGCUCGAUACUGACGCUGAGGUGCGAAAGCGUGGGGAGCAAACAGGAUUAGAAACCCUUGUAGUCCCAUGAU